UACGUAGGGUGCGAGCGUUGUCCGGAAUUAUUGGGCGUAAAGAGCUUGUAGGCGGUCUGUCGCGUCUGCUGUGAAAAUCCGGGGCUCAACCCCGGACUUGCAGUGGGUACGGGCAGACUAGAGUGUGGUAGGGGAGACUGGAAUUCCUGGUGUAGCGGUGGAAUGCGCAGAUAUCAGGAAGAACACCCGUGGCGAAGGCGGCUCUCUGGAACGCAACUGACGCUGAGACGCGAAAGCGUGGGGAGCAAACAGG
rnacentral:rRNA from 1 species